AGUGAACGCUGGCGGUAGGCCUAACACAUGCCAGUCGAACGGCAGCACAGUAAGAGCUUGCUCUUACGGGUGGCGAGUGGCGGACGGGUGAGGAAUACAUCGGAAUCUACUUUUUCGUGGGGGAUAACGUAGGGAAACUUACGCUAAUACCGCAUACGACCUACGGGUGAAAGCAGGGGAUCUUCGGACCUUGCGCGAUUGAAUGAGCCGAUGUCGGAUUAGCUAGUUGGCGGGGUAAAGGCCCACCAAGGCGACGAUCCGUAGCUGGUCUGAGAGGAUGAUCAGCCACACUGGAACUGAGACACGGUCCAGACUCCUACGGGAGGCAGCAGUGGGGAAUAUUGGACAAUGGGCGCAAGCCUGAUCCAGCCAUACCGCGUGGGUGAAGAAGGCCUUCGGGUUGUAAAGCCCUUUUGUUGGGAAAGAAAAGCAGCAGGUUAAUACCCCGCUGUUCUGUCGGUACCCAAAGAAUAAGCACCGGCUAACUUCGUG
rnacentral:rRNA from 1 species